rnacentral:rRNA from 1 species
ACGCUAGCGGCAGGCUUAAUACAUGCAAGUCGUGGGGCAGCGCAGGUAGCAAUACUGGGCGGCGACCGGCAAACGGGUGCGGAACACGUACACAACCUUCCGAGAAGUGGGGAAUAGCCCAGAGAAAUUUGGAUUAAUACCGCAUAAGAUAGUAGAGUGGCAUCACUUUAUUAUUAUAGCUCCGGCGGUUUUGGAUGGGCGUGCGCCUGAUUAGGUAGUUGGCGGGGUAACGGCCCACCAAGCCUUCGAUCAGUAACUGGUGUGAGAGCACGACCAGUCACACGGGCACUGAGACACGGGCCCGACUCCUACGGGAGGCAGCAGUAAGGAAUAUUGGUCAAUGGACGCAAGUCUGAACCAGCCAUGCCGCGUGAAGGAUUAAGGCCCUAUGGGUUGUAAACUUCUUUUGUUUGGGAAGAAAUCUGGACAUUUAUGUGCAGUUGACGGUACCUUACGAAUAAGCACCGGCUAACUCCGUG